CUGGAGACCAUGAUAACAGCCAGAGUUGACAGUUAGAAGGAAUGGCAGAAGGCCAGUGAGAAGCUCCUUCAGGAGAGAACUUACACCAACUCUCCAUUUAGAGGAAAACACCCAGAAAUGCUGGCUUUGCCAAACUGGUUGGAGACGACUGUAAAUGACUAGAAAAUGGAAUCCAGGAAAGAGCCCAGGAAAUUCUGGAAGAGGAGCCAAAGGAGAAGACAUCAUCAGAGAGAUAAGGAGAAGCUUGGAGGAAAGCGUGUAACCAAUGUCAGGGAGGAAGCCCUGGUGUGUCAAAGGCAGCAAGAAGCACAGCAAAAUAGCAGAGGAAGGUCUGUUGGAUUUCAUCACAUGAAGGCAGCUUCCUGGCUGCACCCCUCAUGAGUGGGAUGACAGCUCCGUCCACCGGCAUCCUCUCCUUCAUUCCCUUCAUUCAAUCCAUCUCCAGAAACGGCUGCCUUUCUGUUCUCCCAGCACCCUGCCCUACCUUCUCCAAGAGUUCCCAAAGCAUGAUUCCAGACAAGCAGCAUCCACAUCACCUGUGUAUUUGCUGCAAAUGUGGGUACACAGCCUGUAUUAGAAUCUCAGGAGAUGGGACCCAGAAAACUGUUUCAAUAAGCCCUGGAGCGCUUGAUGAAGUUUGAGACCCUCUGCCUUCUGCAUCAUUCCCAGUGAUCCUCUUCCACAAUCCCAGUGCUACUUAUGAAUCACAGAUAAAAUAAUGCCUGUCUCUGUUUAAAACCAUCCAGAGGGGUCUUGCUAUCUUCAGAAUUAAGUUCAAAGCCAUUCUUCCCAGUGGUCCAUGUUCUGUGAGCUUUUUCAGAUGCUUUGUCCCCUCUGUUCAAAGCACUAUUCACCCACCACCUACCCAUCCACUGACACUGCUACCCACCAGCCUGCCAUGCUCUUCUUCAUCCUUUGUGACUCACCUUCCAGUAUCCUCUGACCUCCAGACAAGUUUCCACAGGGGAAUGGGAGUGCCUGAGAUAAUACUGCUCACCUCUGUGAAAAUCGCUCUUCCUGCCUCUUAAAUCAACUCCUUGAGGAAUGGACCCACUAUCAGUCUUGUUUAACAAUGAAUCAUCAGUGGCAAC